rnacentral:lncRNA from 10 species
GUGUGCCUCAGUUCUCAAAGGUCCUGGCAGCCCCUCUGCGCCAGGCAGUGGCCGCACGCCAGCAGCCUCCUCCCACAGCCCAGGAGCUGGAGGAAACAGCUCAGCCAAGCCGCGCCACCAGCUAGAGCCGGGACUCCCUCCUUGACAUUCAGAGCUGCUAAGUUUUCCUGCGCACGGCCCAGGCGCCCGCCUGACACAUGUCCACCAUGUUCACCUUGCCUGUGUCACACAUGAGAAGACUGAGACUCAGUGAGGGCCCAGCAGAGCGGGUGGAGCUGGUCAGCCCGGCUGUGCCCUGACAUGUGGGGGUGGGGGGUGUGGAAUCCUAAUGAGGGAAAAGGAGUCGGGCUGGCAGGACAGAGGGAAGGCAAAAAGAAGAAGCAAAGAAGCUUUAAGUCUGCCCUUCUUCACUGUCCAGGACACACAGCCCUCCUGAAGAAAUAACUCACAAUCUUCCUGUGCCCGGCUAUUGCCAGACCCUUGGCUGAUAGGAGAAUGGAUGUUAGCUGACUGCAACCUUGGCGUUAUCAGUACUGCCUGUGGCCCUCUCCAGCACACAGCACAGGCGCCGUCCUAUAACAUCCCCAGCAAGCCCUCAUUUCUUUGCAGUGGCUCCUCCCUUGCUGACCUGCCCCUUGCUUCGGCUCCUCCCUUGCUGACCUGCCCCUUGCUUCGGCUCCUCCCUUGCUGACCUGCCCCUUGCUUCGGCUCCUCCCUUGCUGACCUGCCCCUUGCUUCGGCUCCUCCCUUGCUGACCUGCCCGUUGCUUCUGUGCUAUGCACAUUUUCUACUUUCUCUAAUAAAUC